rnacentral:rRNA from 1 species
GACGUAGGGCGCGAGCGUUGUCCGGAUUUAUUGGGCGUAAAGAGCUCGUAGGCGGUCUGUUGCGUCGGCUGUGAAAACCCGGGGCUCAACUCCGGGCCUGCAGCCGAUACGGGCAGACUAGAGUUCGGCAGGGGAGACUGGAAUUCCUGGUGUAGCGGUGGAAUGCGUAGAGAUCGGGGAAGAACACCAGUGGCGAAGGCGGUCUGCUGGGCCGUUGCUGACGCUGAGGCGCGACAGCGUGGGGAGCAAACAGG